UACAGAGGUCCCGAGCGUUGUUCGGAUUCAUUGGGCGUAAAGGGUGCGUAGGCGGCGCGGAAAGUUGGGUGUGAAAUCCCUCGGCUCAACCGAGGAACUGCGCCCAAAACUACCGUGCUCGAGGAAGAUAGAGGUGAGCGGAACUUAGGGUGGAGCGGUGAAAUGCGUUGAUAUCCUAAGGAACACCGGUGGCGAAAGCGGCUCACUGGAUCUUUUCUGACGCUGAGGCACGAAAGCUAGGGUAGCGAACGGG
rnacentral:rRNA from 1 species